CUUGUUAACAUCUAUGAAAAAAAAAUCAAAUUUAUUAAGAUCAGAGGUUGAGGCAAUUUUUAGGCCUUUCUGUAAAACUUCGAUCUCCCCUCUGGGUAACUCGUCACCCGUCAAGUUAAAAAUUCCAUCUGAGUUUACCUCUUUCCUCUCUUCUCUCUGUGUCUCUCUUCUUCUUUUUCUAUUUUUCUUUUGUUGCUGAUCUGUCGUUUGCCGGGGGACUUCCAUAUUGUGAUUUGUCGUGUUAGUUUCAAUCUCUCUGUUGCUGGGUCCUUCCGAAAAAAAAGUCAAUGAUUGUUCUUGUUUAGAUGUAUGUGGUUGUUCCUCUAUUUCAUCCAGUCUAUUUCCCU